AUUGAACGCUGGCGGCAGGCCUAACACAUGCAAGUCGAGCGGAUGAAGGGAGCUUGCUCCUGGAUUCAGCGGCGGACGGGUGAGUAAUGCCUAGGAAUCUGCCUGGUAGUGGGGGAUAACGUCCGGAAACGGGCGCUAAUACCGCAUACGUCCUGAGGGAGAAAGUGGGGGAUCUUCGGACCUCACGCUAUCAGAUGAGCCUAGGUCGGAUUAGCUAGUUGGUGGGGUAAAGGCCUACCAAGGCGACGAUCCGUAACUGGUCUGAGAGGAUGAUCAGUCACACUAGAACUGGGACACGGUCCAGACUCCUACGGGAGGCAGCAGUGGGGAAUAUUGGACAAUGGGCGAAAGCAUGAUCCAGCCAUGCCGCGUGUGUGAAGAAGGUCUUCCGAUUGUAAAGCACUUUAAGUUGGGAGGAGGGGCAGUAAGUUAAUACCUUGCUGUUUUGACGUUACCAACAGAAUAAGCACCGGCUAACUUCGUG
rnacentral:rRNA from 1 species